rnacentral:tRNA from 1 species
GGGGAUGUGGCUCAGAGGUAGAGCACUUACCUAACAUGUAUAAGGCCCUGGGUUUAAUUCCCAAUACCA